rnacentral:rRNA from 1 species
CCUACGGGUGACAGCAGUGAGGAAUAUUGGUCAAUGGGCGAGCGUCUGAACCAGCCAAGUAGCGUGAAGGAUGACUGCCCUAUGGGUUGUAAACUUCUUUUAUAUGGGAAUAAAAUGUUCCACGUGUGGGAUUUUGUAUGUACCAUGUGAAUAGGGAUCGGCUAACUCCGGGCCAGCAGCCGCGGUAAUACGGAGGAUCCGAGCGUUAUCCGGAUUUAUUGGGGUUAAAGGGAGCGUAGGUGGAUUGUUAAGUCAGUUGUGAAAGUUUGCGGUUCAACCGUAAAAUUGCAGUUGAAACUGGCAGUCUGGAGUACAGUAGAGGUGGGCGGAAUGCGUGGUGUAGCGGUGAAAUGCUUAGAUAUCACGAAGAACUCCGAUUGCGAAGGCAGCUCACGGGACUGCAACUGACACUGAGGCUCGAAAGUGUGGGUAUCAAACAGGAUUAGAUACCCCAGUAGUC